rnacentral:tRNA from 1 species
GGGGAUAUAACUCAGUUGGUAGAGUACUUGCCUCACAUGCACAAGACCCUGGGUUCAAUCCUCAGCACCACCA